GGAAGGAUCAUUAACACGUAUCCAACGUUAAAACCCCCGUGAACCUUACACCACGGGCGGAUAGGGACAAGGGCCCGGUAACUCAUGGCCGCCAUAAGUAUUGACUCGGCUCCCCUCCCUUCCUCCGCUUCGUUCAAUGGCUCUCCCGGUAUGCCCUCCUAAAACAGCUUCCCUCUUAGAUACCGCUCUCGUGUUAGUGGCAUUUUGCAAACACCUGGUAACUCAUUGCCGCAAUUAGAAUUGAUUCAGGUGAGGGCAGAAUAAGCUAUCCCGUUGGUGGAUAUCGGAGGUCUAAUGACGCGGGACAGCAUAAUGUGUGCCGGUCGUGCUGGUGGCUUCACUGCCAGAAUGUCGACUGUAUGUGCAUGCAGAGCGCUGGCGUUACGAACGUUUCAGCCUUAAGCUCCUGGAGAGAUGGUGCCCCCUGUCGCGAUUAGUAACACAAUCGCGGGAAGGGGGAUUCAACACCCCUAAAACUACACAAACAACCCACACCCCCCUUCUGUCCCGGGAUACUUGACGGAAUCAACCGUCACGGCAUGGGGUUCCAUGUUGGAUUAAAUUCGGUCUCGACGACGUAAAAAUCUCGAACAACUGUUAGCAAUGGAUAUCUAGGUUCCCGGAACGAUGAAGAACGCAGCGAAAUGCGAUACGUAAUGCGAAUUGCAGAAUUCAGUGAAUCAUCGAAUCUUUGAACGCAAAUUGCGCUCUUGGGUUACCCCUAAGAGCACACCUCUCUGAGUGUCGGUUUAACCAAAUGUUCCCAUUUAUUGGGUAACGACAGUCUGAGGGUAAGGGGUCUUGCGCUUCUUUCCCUUCAAAAUCAGCCACACGAAUUUUGUGUGUUAGUGGCAAGUUGCUUUCACUUAACUGUGAAUCGUCUUCCGCCAACCCGAAAAUCGUACAUGUGGCCAAAAAGAAACAACAGCGACAUGAUCGAAAGAGAGGGAUCCAGCACAAUUGUUGGAAUGGGACCUGCUGAGGGUCGAAGACUGACUUGAGGUGGAUUGAGAACUGACUGGAAGUGGAUCAAGGAACUGUUUGGAAAUGGAUCAUGGACCUGUUUCUAAUGUGGACUUUGGGCUGUCUGAAGUGACGGACCUUUGGGUCUGACUGGAGUGGACCGAAAGGACUAUUCUGGGAGGAUUUGAGGGACUGCUGCAAAGAUGGCACUGAGGACUGCGGCGGGAAUGGGACUGAGGUCUGUCGAAGAAUGGAUCUGAGGUUUGCGGAAGGAUGGACCGAGAACUGCCAAGGGACGGACUGAGAUGCUUGGUGGGACCUGUUUGAUGAGAGUGAGGGAACCUUCUUGGACGUGAUUGUCGUUUUCCUAUGAAUCAGACCUCAGAUGAAGUGGGAAGACCCCCUGAAUUUAAGCAUAUUACUAAGGGGAGGAAAAGAAACUAACAAGGAUUCCCCCAGUAACGGCGAGUGAAGCGGGAAGAGCUCAAAUUUAAAAUCCCUAGGUCUAACAGCCUGGGGAGUUGUAAUCUAGAGAAGGUCUCUCAGGGCAAGCCUGGUUAUAAGUCCCUUGAAACAGGGUGUCAGAGAGGGUGAGAACCCCGUCUUAGAACCGGAGCUAAGUCCGUACGAGGACCUUUCCAAGAGUCGCGUUGCUUGGGAGUGCAGCGCUAAAUGGGUGGUAAAGUUCAUCUAAAGCUAAAUACUGCCGGGAGACCGAUAGCGAACAAGUACCGUGAGGGAAAGAUGAAAAGAACUUUGAAAAGAGAGUUAAAAAGUACUUGAAAUUGUUAACAGGUAAGGGUAGGAAACCACUACCGUUUCGGGCACAUUCGCUUUCGCUUCGGCGGGGGUUACUUGUGUCUGAUAGGAGUCGACAUCCUUUUGAUCUUUUGGAGAAUGGAUUGAAGCUGGUGCCUUUCUUCGGAUUGGUUUAGCUUUGGUCCUCUACAUUGGGCUGGAAGGAGGAUAUCGAAAACCCGCCCUUUUCGGAGGUCGGCACCCUUUGCCUAUUCGUCCUAGCGCGUGAGAGAACAAAGUUCUGUCCGUGCAAAAGAUAAAUACUGCUUGGGAUGUGCUAGAUGCUGGGUUAGCGAUGUUGACUAAAUGGUUUUCUGCCACCCGUCUUGAAACACGGACCAAGGAGUCUAACAUAUAUGCGAGUAUUUGGGUGACAAACCCUGAUGCGCAAUGAAAGUAAAGGGCCGCAAGGCUUGAGGUAGGAAUCCUGCCCUCGGGUGGGAGGCACUAUCGACCGAUCGUUCGCUUGCGGAAGAUUUGAGUAAUAGCAUGUAUGUUGGGACCCGAAAGAUGGUGAUCUAUGCCUGAACAGGGUGAAGCCAGGGGAAACUCUGGUGGAAGCUCGUAGCGAUACUGACGUGCAAAUCGUUCGUCUGAUUUGGGUAUAGGGGCGAAAGACUAAUCGAACCAUCUAGUAGCUGGUUCCCUC
rnacentral:misc_RNA from 1 species